GAUGAACGCUGGCGGCGUGCCUAACACAUGCAAGUCGAGCGAACAGACGAGGAGCUUGCUCCUCUGACGUUAGCGGCGGACGGGUGAGUAACACGUGGAUAACCUACCUAUAAGACUGGGAUAACUUCGGGAAAACGGAGCUAAUACCGGAUAAUAUAUUGAACCGCAUGGUUCAAUAGUGAAAGACGGUUUUGCUGUCACUUAUAGAUGGAUCCGCGCCGCAUUAGCUAGUUGGUAAGGUAACGGCUUACCAAGGCAACGAUGCGUAGCCGACCUGAGAGGGUGAUCGCCCACACUGGAACGGAGACGCGGUCCAGACUCCUACGGGAGGCAGCAGUAGGGAAUCUUCCGCAAUGGGCGAAAGCCUGACGGAGCAACGCCGCGUGAGUGAUGAAGGUCUUCGGAUCGUAAAACUCUGUUAUUAGGGAAGAACAAAUGUGUAAGUAACUAUGCACGUCUUGACGGUACCUAAUCAGAAAGCCACGGCUAACUACGUG
rnacentral:rRNA from 1 species